GAGACCCAUAAUUAUUUUCUCAAAUUUUAAAUGUUUAAUAUGUAUUUGGAUUAUCGAAGUAUGGAUAAUGCAGAAGAUAUGAGUUGGGUCAAUGUGAGAUGACUUGUAAGUUGUGGGAGUUGACGUGAUACAAUAGGAGUGAAAGGGUGAAAGUGUUAUUUGUGCUAUAUAAGUCAAAAAAAAAAGAAGGGAGCAGGAGAUUUUUUCUCUCUUUUCCUUUCCUUUCUUUUCUUCUUGUCCGGCAUCUCUCUCUCUCGGCUCUCACCUCUCUCACCUUCUCUCUUCGAUUUCAUCUUCUACUAGUGGGAUUUUUGAAAAAAUCCCAAGUACUAAAGUUGUUCUUUGCGACGAGAGCUUUCUACCCAUCCAAGAAAAUUCACGAUCGGAGCACUUCGAAGUUUCCUCCAUGUUCGGGCUUGCUUCUAACCUUCGAGGAAGUUCGAGUCGUCACGUGGAUCGAGGAAGCGACGCGUAGUGUGGCAGAGUGUUUACUUUAGUUUGUAAAUUUGUAGGUAAGCACAGCUCUGAGAGGUUUAUCCUUUUGGUUUGUAAACCUAUGUAAGACUUUGGUUUGUUAUCAAUAAAAGUUAACUUUUGCUUC